rnacentral:rRNA from 1 species
UACGUAGGGUGCAAGCGUUGUCCGAAAUUACUGGGUUUAAAGGGUGCGUAGGCGGGUUGAUAAGUCAGCGGUCAAAUCUACAGGCUUAACUUGUGGUUCGCCGUUGAUACUGUCAGUCUUGAGUACAAAUUACGAAGCCGGAAUUCAUGGUGUAGCGGUGAAAUGCAUAGAUACCAUGAGGAACGCCGAUAGCGAAGGCAGGUUUCGGGUUUGUAACUGACGCUGAGGCACGACAGCAUGGGUAUCAAACAGG